UGUGGUGUAACAUAGUGGUAGAGUACAUGUCUACCAUGUGUGAGGCAUUGGGUUCGAUCCUCAACACCAUAU
rnacentral:tRNA from 1 species